AUGGCCUUGCCGAAACAGCACGCGGACGUCACCGUCAUCGCUCCUUUUCUAGAUGGCAUCAUCGUCAUCCCUAAACUACUCCAACUUCACCGGAGUACGAGGCUCUUCGAUACCGGUAGGCCCCCGCUCCUGGCGGCGUGGUUGGAGCGCUUCGGCGCGCUGGACGCGACCGAGGCUGUCAUGGGGGAUGUCCCGACGAGGUUGGUCGAGCUCGCCAACAUGAAGCAGGCGGAGGCCGCGGCCGCAGCUGCGGCUGGAGAUUGCUAA
rnacentral:rRNA from 1 species